UACGUAGGGUGCGAGCGUUGUCCGGAAUUAUUGGGCGUAAAGGGCUCGUAGGCGGUUUGUCGCGUCGGGAGUGAAACCUUGGGCUUAACUCAGGGCUUGCUUUCGAUACGGGCGUACUAGAGGUAUGCAGGGGAGAACGGAAUUCCUGGUGUAGCGGUGAAAUGCGCAGAUAUCAGGAGGAACACCGGUGGCGAAGGCGAGUCUCUGGACAUUUCCUGACGCUGAGGCACGAAAGCCAGGGGAGCAAACGGG
rnacentral:rRNA from 1 species